rnacentral:rRNA from 1 species
GACGAACGCUGGCGGCGUGCUUAACACAUGCAAGUCGAGCGGAGCGGCGAACGGGUGAGUAACGCGUGAGUAACUGCCCCCCUCUCUGGGAUAACAGUUGGAAACGGAUGCUAAUACAGGAUAGUGGGGGAUGACUCGCGUCCUAUCAGCUUGGUGGUGUGGUAGUGGCCGACCACGGAGACGACGGUUAGCCGGCCGGAGAGGGCGACCGGCAACAUUGGGCGGAGAGACGGCCCAAACUCAGACGGGAGGAGGCAGUGGGGAAGAUUGCACAAUGGGGGAAACCCUGAUGCAGCAACGCCGUGUGCGGGAUGACUGCCUUCGGGUUGUAAACCGCUUUCAGCCAGGACGCGUUAGUGGCAGAAGAAGCACCGGCUAACUACGUGCCAGCAGCCGCGGUAAUAC